rnacentral:rRNA from 1 species
CGGGUACGGAACACGUGUGCACCUGCCUUUAUCUGGGGAUAGCUUUCGAAAGGAAGAUUAAUACCCCAUAAUAUGUGAAUGGCAUCAUUCGACAUUGAAAACUCCGGUGGAUAGAGAUGGGCACGCGCAAGAUUAAAUGGUUGGUGAGGUACGGUCACCAAGUCUACGAUCUUUAGGGGCCUGAAGGUGAUCCCCCAAUGGUAUGAAGGACCAAUCCUAACGGGAGGCAGAGGAAUAUGGAAUGGGUGAGAGCCUGAUCCAGGCCAUCCCGGUGAAGGACGACUGCCCUAUGGGUUGUAAACUUCUUUUGUAUAGGGAUAAACCUACCCUCGUGAGGGUAGCUGAAGGUACUAUACGAAUAAGCACCGGUUAAUCCGUGCCAAGACAAGCGCGGUAAUACGGAGGGUGAAAGCGUUAAUCCGGAAUUAAUNGGGUUAAAAAGGGUCCCGUAAGGCGAGAUUCUGAUAAAGUCAGUGGUUGGAAUUCUCCAAAAAGGUUUUAACUUGGUGGAAAAGUGGCCAUUGAUUAAACUGGGACGGGUCACUUCGAAAGUGUGGUUGAAANUAAGCUUGGGAAUAAAGAUAGAGUGGUAGCCGGUCG